GGGGGGUGAGAAUGCUUCUGUGUCAUUGUUAACUUAUCCAGUUCUGGUGGCUGCUGAUAUCCUCUUGUAUAAGGUGAUGAUGCUUUACUGAUUCCAUUUUGGUCUCUCGGAUAAGACCACAGGAGGAUUCGUUGAACAAUGCAAUAGACAUGGUUGUUGGAACCCCUGGUAGGAUCCUUCAGCAUAUCGAAGAAGGAAACAUGGUCUAUGGAGAUAUCACAUAUUUAGUGCUGGAUGAGGCAGACACUAUGUUUGAUCGUGGCUUCGGUCCUGACAUUCGUAAGUUUCUUGCCCCACUGAAAUAGCGUGCGUUGAAAACAAAUGACUAAGGGUUUCAAACCGUCUUAGUCACUGCCGCCGGAAUAAGCACAUGGGCUUCCUCUUGAUACUCAACAGUUUACAAUGUGAGUGAUUGGUGUUGUUCUGUUUCAUGUUACAUGUUCUUCUUUUGUUGUUCUUGUUAUUGAUUAUGGUGUGUUAUUACUUGAAUUGUGAAGAUAUACCAAAACUUAUUUUCAUUGA